rnacentral:lncRNA from 10 species
GCAGGAACUGAAGACACAUUUUGUAGAAGUUGAUGGAUUAAGAAAAAGAAGUUGCAUUUUAUUACCUAUCCUAAAGAUAGAAGGUGAUCUGAACAUUCUAAUAUCACUUGCCAAGACUGUUGGAGCAUGGGGAAGAGAGGUUCCUCGCAUGACUGACAGCUUAGAAGCCAGAGGUCAAGGGAGCCUAUCGAUCAAUGCACUCCACGCAAAUAUGUCCCAGGAGCAGGAUAGAACAAGGUGUAAAAGGGUG